rnacentral:misc_RNA from 1 species
UGAAGCUGGGACGAUAGCUCGUGUAAUUGCUGAUGGCACAAUAACCCUGGCUGGAUUCCUAGGCGAGAGUAGGCUCUUGAAUGCCACCCUUCUUCCUUCGCUCUUUAUUUCUGUGGCCUCCAUAAUUGCCACUUGUUUUACCUAUAACUCACUCUAUUGAUUCUUAUGUUGUAUGGACAAGUCAUUUGAUAUGUGAAGUCUAGCUUCUCAAUUUUGUUCCUCUUUUUUCAAUAAGAAUAAUAAUAAUAAUGAUUUUUUGUUAAUCAGUUCUCUAAAUUGUAAGAAACUAGUUCAUUGAUUCUCCUAUUCAAUUAGAAUUUAAUAAGGUUUCAGGCUUCUGCUGGAGGGUGUGGAAGGCUUCAAGUUUUCAAUUUCCUGGAGUUCUUGUGUUCCUACAACAAAAAAUAAGAGUUGUUCCAUCCCAUGUGAAAUUAAAUAGUGAAUAAAUGAAUGGACAAGAAUAACACUUGUUGGUGGUUCUUAUGUUAUUCUUGAGUACUCGUUAAAUGUUACCAUGGAGCAAGUUCAAAUUUAGAAUAGAAAAGUAAAAGAUGCAAAAAUGAGGAAAGAGGGAGAAAAGUAUUAUUGAACUCUCAAGCCCUUUCCGGUAAUGAAUUAAUUGGACAAUUAAAGGGCAACUAUUAGUAUGAAGGUAACAAAAUAAGGCUGGAUAUGUAUAGUCUUUGACCUUUCAUUAAAAGAUAUGUACUGCAAAAAUGAAUUUUCAGUUCAAUAUAUGUCAUGGAUAAUUCAACACCUGAACUAUUUUCCUAAAAAGGAUUACAUGUAAUCAUAGUUUUACUUUAUUUUCAUCCAAGAACAUGAAUUUAGAGCGUGGAAUCGAUUUUUUUAGGGUAGUCAUUAGAUCGGUUUCAAUUCAAGACUUAAUAAGAUUGGAUUAUAAGAUAUGUCAUGAUCUGAUUUCUGGGCCGAAUUGGCACUAGGACUUUAGUUAGCAUAAGCCUCUCGAAACUCGUAGUAAGCUUAACUAUUUCUAAUCCAUUCAUAAAACCCAUUGAGGUAGCUCAAUUUCAAGAAAACAAAUAGACAAAAUCCGGCUAUAAAUUGAACGAUCCAACCAGGAGCAUUAACUCACUUGACAUGUAAACAAAUUAUAUUAAUAAUAUAGGGAGCUCAGCUCACCCUUACA